rnacentral:rRNA from 1 species
AUUGAACGCUUUCUUCAUGCCUUACACAUGCAAGUCGAACGGCAGCAUGAUCUAGCUUGCUAGAUUGAUGGCGAGUGGCGAACGGGUGAGUAAUACAUCGGAACGUGCCCUGUAGUGGGGGAUAACUAGUCGAAAGUUUAGCUAAUACCGCAUACUACCUGAGGGUGAAAGUGGGGGACCGCAAGGCCUCAUGCUAUAGGAGCGGCCGAUGUCUGAUUAGCUAGUUGGUGAGGUAAAGGCUCACCAAGGCGACGAUCAGUAGCUGGUCUGAGAGGACGAUCAGCCACACUGGGACUGAGACACGGCCCAGACUCCUACGGGAGGCAGCAGUGGGGAAUUUUGGACAAUGGGCGAAAGCCUGAUCCAGCAAUGCCGCGUGUGUGAAGAAGGCCUUCGGGUUGUAAAGCACUUUUGUCCGGAAAGAAAUGGCUCUGGUUAAUACCUGGGGUCGAUGACGGUACCGGAAGAAUAAGGACCGGCUAACUACGUG